UGGUGCGUUCAUACCAGCACUAAUGCACCGGAUCCCAUCAGAACUCCGAAGUAAAACGUGCUUGGGCGAGAGUAGUACUAAGAUGGGUGACCUAUUGGGAAGUCCUCAUGUUGCACCCC
rnacentral:rRNA from 1 species